CGGGGUGUGGCGCAGCCCGGUAGCGCACAUGCAUGGGGUGCAUGCGGUCGGAGGUUCAAAUCCUCUCGCCCCGACCA
rnacentral:tRNA from 1 species